rnacentral:misc_RNA from 1 species
UCCUCGUUAACCGAGGCAGUCCCCCUAGAGUGCCCGGCCGAACCGAUGGCAACUAAGGGCGAGGGUUGCGCUCGUUGCGGGACUUAACCCAACAUCUCACGACACGAGCUGACGACAGCCAUGCAGCACCUUCUCACCGAUUCCCCGAAGGGCUGCCGUAUUUCUACGACAUUCCUGUGCAUGUCAAGCCCAGGUAAGGUUCUUCGCGUCGCGUCGAAUUAAACCACAUGCUCCGCUGCUUGUGCGGGCCCCCGUCAAUUCCUUUGAGUUUCAGCCUUGCGGCCGUACUCCCCAGGCGGGGCACUUACUGCGUUAGCGACGGCACCGGGAGGGUCGCUCCCCCCGACGCCUAGUGCCCAUCGUUUACGGCGUGGACUAC